UACGUAGGGUGCAAGCGUUAAUCGGAAUUACUGGGCGUAAAGCGUGCGCAGGCGGUUUUGUAAGUCUGUCGUGAAAUCCCCGGGCUCAACCUGGGAAUUGCGAUGGAGACUGCAAGGCUGGAGUCUGGCAGAGGGGGGUAGAAUUCCACGUGUAGCAGUGAAAUGCGUAGAGAUGUGGAGGAACACCGAUGGCGAAGGCAGCCCCCUGGGUCAAGACUGACGCUCAUGCACGAAAGCGUGGGGAGCAAACAGGAU
rnacentral:rRNA from 1 species